rnacentral:rRNA from 1 species
CCUACGGGUGGCAGCAGUGAGGAAUAUUGGUCAAUGGACGAGAGUCUGAACCAGCCAAGUAGCGUGAAGGAUGACUGCCCUAUGGGUUGUAAACUUCUUUUAUAUCGGAAUAAAAUGUUCCACGUGUGGGAUUUUGUAUGUACCAUAUGAAUAAGGAUCGGCUAACUCCGUGCCAGCAGCCGCGGUAAUACGGAGGAUCCGAGCGUUAUCCGGAUUUAUUGGGUUUAAAGGGAGCGUAGGUGGAUUGUUAAGUCAGUUGUGAAAGUUUGCGGCUCAACCGUAAAAUUGCAGUUGAAACUGGCAGUCUUGAGUACAGUAGAGGUGGGCGGAAGUCGUGGUGUAGCGGUGAAAUGCUUAGAUAUCACGAAGAACUCCGAUUGCGAAGGCAGUUCACUGGACUGCAACUGACACUGAGGCUCGAAAGUGUGGGUAUCAAACAGGAUUAGAUACCCCUGUAGUC